rnacentral:rRNA from 1 species
ACAGUCGAACGCAGUAGCACUACUGAGUGGCAAACGGGUGAGUAUAUGUGGGUAUUGCCUUUUGGUUUGGAAUAACACGGGGAAACUUGUGCUAAUACCGAAUAAGCCCUUACGGGGAAAGUUUUAACGCCGAAAGAUGAGCCUGCACUUGAUUAGCUAGUUGGUAAGGUAAAGGCUUACCAAGGCAACGAUCAAUAGCUGUUCUUAGAGGAAGACCAGCCACAUUGGGACUGAGACACGGCCCAGACUCCUACGGGAGGCAGCAGUGGGGAAUCUUGCACAAUGGGGGAAACCCUGAUGCAGCGAUGCCGCGUGAGUGAAGAAGGCCUUUGGGUUGUAAAACUCUUUCGUCGGGGAAGAAAAUGACUGUACCCGAAUAAGAAGGUCCGGCUAACUUCGUGCCAGCAGCCGCGGUAAUACGAAGGGACCUAGCGUAGUUCGGAAUUACUGGGCUUAAAGAGCUCGUAGGUGGUUAAAAAAGUUGAUGGUGAAAUCCCAAGGCUCAACCUUGGAACUGCCAUGCAAACUUUUUAGCUAGAGUGUGAUAGAGGUAAGUGGAAUUUCUAGUGUAGAGGUGAAAUUCGUAGAUAUUAGAAAGAACACCAGAAGCGAAGGCAACUUACUGGGUCACUACUGACACUGAGGAGGCGAAGCAUGGGUAGCGAAGAGGAUUAGAUAACCUCGUAGUCCAUGCGUAACGAGUGUGCUAG